rnacentral:tRNA from 1 species
UAGCAAGAAAUUUAGGUUAGAUAUUAAACCAAGAGCCUUCAAAGCCCUUAACAGAGGAUGAACCCCCUAAUUUCU